UACGGAGGGUGCAAACGUUGCUCGGAAUUAUUGGGCGUAAAGCGCACGUAGGCGGACCAUCAAGUCGGAUGUGAAAUCCCCUCGGCUUAACCGAGGACGUGCAUUCGAAACUGAUGGCCUUGAGUACGAAAGAGGAUCGCGGAAUUCCCGGUGUAGAGGUGAAAUUCGUAGAUAUCGGGAGGAACACCAGUGGCGAAGGCGGCGAUCUGGGUCGAUACUGACGCUGAGGUGCGAAAGCGUGGGGGAGCAAACAGG
rnacentral:rRNA from 1 species